rnacentral:rRNA from 1 species
GGAUCGGCUAACUCCGUGCCAGCAGCCGCGGUAAUACGAGGAUCCGAGCGUUAUCCGGAUUUAUUGGGUUUAAAGGGAGCGUAGGUGGACUGGUAAGUCAGUUGUGAAAGUUUGCGGCUCAACCGUAAAAUUGCAGUUGAUACUGUCAGUCUUGAGUACAGUAGAGGUGGGCGGAAUUCGUGGUGUAGCGGUGAAAUGCUUAGAUAUCACGAAGAACUCCGAUUGCGAAGGCAGCUCACUGGACUGCAACUGACACUGAUGCUCGAAAGUGUGGGUAUCAAACAGGAUUAGAUACCCUGGUAGUCCACACAGUAAACGAUGAAUACUCGCUGUUUGCGAUAUACAGUAAGCGGCCAAGCGAAAGCAUUAAGUAUUCCACCUGGGGAGUACGCCGGCA